rnacentral:tRNA from 1 species
GGAGGGGUGGCCGAGUGGUUGAAGGCGCACGCCUGGAAAGUGUGUAAACGGGCAACCGUUUCGUGAGUUCGAAUCUCAUCUCCUCCGCCA